rnacentral:rRNA from 1 species
GAUGAACGCUGGCGGCGUGCUUAACACAUGCAAGUCGAACGAUGAAGCCCAUCUUGCUGGGUGGAUUAGUGGCGAACGGGUGAGUAACACGUGAGUAACCUUCCCUUGACUCUGGGAUAAGCCCGGGAAACUGGGUCUAAUACCGGAUAGGAGCGCCUGUCGCAUGACGGGUGUUGGAAAGAUUUUUCGGUCAUGGAUGGACUCGCGGCCUAUCAGCUUGUUGGUGAGGUAAUGGCUCACCAAGGCGACGACGGGUAGCCGGCCUGAGAGGGUGACCGGCCACACUGGGACUGAGACACGGCCAAGAAUCCUAAGGGAGGCAGCAGUGGGGAAUAUUGCACAAUGGGAAGAAGCCUGAUGCAGCGACGCAGCGUGAGGGAUGACGGCCUUCGGGUUGUAAACCUAUUUCAGUAGGGAAGAAGCGAAAGUGACGGUACCUGCAGAAGAAGCACCGGCUAACUACG